rnacentral:rRNA from 1 species
CACGUAGGGACCAAGCGUUGUCCGGAUUUAUUGGGCGUAAAGAGCUCGUAGGCGGUUCGGUAAGUCGGGUGUGAAAACUCUGGGCUCAACUCAGAGAUGCCACCCGAUACUGCCGUGACUUGAGUCCGGUAGGGGAGCACGGAAUUCCUGGUGUAGCGGUGAAAUGCGCAGAUAUCAGGAGGAACACCGAUGGCGAAGGCAGUGAUCUGGGCCGAUACUGACGCUGAGGAGCGAAAGCGUGGGGAGCGAACAGG